CAAGAAACUACGAAAGGAAUUGGACGGGGAGCACUACGAACGGGUGGAGCCUGUCGGUUUAAUUGGACUACAACGACCGGAAAACUCACCGUGGGGCGACAGCAAUAUUGUAGGUCAGGCUGAAGGUCUUACCUGAAUCGCUGAGAGGAGGUGCAUGGCCGUCGUCAGUUCGUACUGUGAAGCAUCCUGUUAAGUCAGGCAACGAGCGAGACCCGUGCCCACUGUUGCCAGCAUAUCCUUCGGGAUGAUGGGUACUCUGUGGGGACCGCCGCUGCUAAAGCGGAGGAAGGUGCGGGCUACGGUAGGUCAGUAUGCCCCGAAUCUCCAGGGCUACACGCGGGCUACAAUGACCGGGACAAUGGGUCCCUACCCCGAAAGGGGUUGGUAAUCUCAUAAACCCGGCCUUAGUUCGGAUCGAGGGCUGCAACUCGCCCUCGUGAAGCUGGAAUCCGUAGUAAUCGCGUUUCAAUAUAGCGCGGUGAAUACGUCCCUGCUCCUU
rnacentral:rRNA from 1 species